rnacentral:rRNA from 1 species
AUUGAACGCUGGCGGCAGGCCUAACACAUGCAAGUCGAACGGUAACAGGAAGCAGCUUGCUGCUUCGCUGACGAGUGGCGGACGGGUGAGUAAUGUCUGGGAAGCUGCCUGAUGGAGGGGGAUAACUACUGGAAACGGUAGCUAAUACCGCAUAAUGUCGCAAGACCAAAGAGGGGGACCUUCGGGCCUCUUGCCAUCGGAUGUGCCCAGAUGGGAUUAGCUUGUUGGUGGGGUAACGGCUCACCAAGGCGACGAUCCCUAGCUGGUCUGAGAGGAUGACCAGCCACACUGGGACUGAGACACGGUCCAGACUCCUACGGGAGGCAGCAGUGGGGAAUAUUGCACAAUGGGCGCAAGCCUGAUGCAGCCAUGCCGCGUGUAUGAAGAAGGCCUUCGGGUUGUAAAGUACUUUCAGCGGGGAGGAAGGGAGUAAAGUUAAUACCUUUGCUCAUUGACGUUACCAGCAGAAGAAGCACCGGCUAACUCCGUG